rnacentral:rRNA from 1 species
UUCUGGUUGAUCCUGCCGGACCUGACUGCUAUCGGAUUGAUACUAAGCCAUGCGAGUCUUUGCAGUAAUGCAAGGCAUACGGCUCAGUAACACGUAGUCAACUUACCCUAUGGACGAGGAUAAUCUCGGGAAACUGAGCAUAAUACUCGAUAGAUCAUAAUGCCUGGAAUGGUUUAUGGUUGAAAUGAUUCGUCGCCAUAGGAUGGGACUGCGGCCUAUCAGCUUGUUGGUGAGGUAAUGGCCCACCAAGGCGAUUACAGGUACGGGCUCUGAGAGGAGAAGCCCGGAGAUGGGUACUGAGACAAGGACCCAGGCCCUAUGGGGCGCAGCAGGCGAGAAAACUUUGCAAUGUGCGAAAGCACGACAAGGUUAAUCCGAGUGAUUUCUGCUAAAGAAAUCUUUUGCAAGUCAUAAAACCACUAGUGAAUAAGGGGUGGGCAAGUUCUGGUGUCAGCCGCCGCGGUAAAACCAGCACCUCAAGUGGUCAGGAGGAUUAUUGGGCCUAAAGCAUCCGUAGCCGGCUCUGUAAGUUUUCGGUUAAAUCCAUGUGCUCAACGCAUGGGCUGCCGAAAAUACUGCAUAGCUAGGGAGUGGGAGAGGUAGACGGUACUCGGUAGGAAGGGGUAAAAUCCUUUGAUCUAUCGAUGACCACCUGUGGCGAAGGCGGUCUACCAGAACACGUUCGACGGUGAGGGAUGAAAGCUGGGGGAGCAAACCGGAUUAGAUACCCGGGUAGUCCCAGCUGUAAACGAUGCAGACUCGAUGAUGCAUUGGCAUAUAGCCAGUGCAGUGUCGCAGGGAAGCCGUUAAGUCUGCCGCCUGGGAAGUACGUACGCAAGUAUGAAACUUAAAGGAAUUGGCGGGGGAGCACCACAAGGGGUGAAGCCUGCGGUUCAAUUGGAUUCAACGCCGGA